CAGCAGCCGCGGGAAUACGAGGGGGGCAAGCGUUGUUCGGAAUUACUGGGCGUAAAGGGCGCGUAGGCGGCCAUUCAAGUUAGAUGUGAAAGCCCUGGGCUCAACCUAGGAAUUGCAUUUGAUACUGUUUGGCUUGAGUUCGGGAGAGGUGAGUGGAAUUCCCAGUGUAGAGGUGAAAUUCGUAGAUAUUGGGAAGAACACCAGUGGCGAAGGCGGCUCACUGGACCGACACUGACGCUGAGGCGCGAAAGCGUGGGGAGCAAACAGGAUUAGAUACCCCUGUAGUCCCUGUCUCUUAUAU
rnacentral:rRNA from 1 species